rnacentral:rRNA from 1 species
GAUGAACGCUAGCGGCAGGCUUAACACAUGCAAGUCGAGGGGUAUUGGUUUUCGGACCAAGAGACCGGCGCACGGGUGCGUAACGCGUAUGCAAUCUACCUUUUGCAGAGGGAUAGCCCCAGAGAAAUUUGGAUUAAUACCUCAUAGUAUAGUACUUUGGCAUCAAGGAACUAUUAAAGCCACAACGGCAAAGAUGAGCAUGCGUCCCAUUAGCUAGUUGGUAAGGUAACGGCUUACCAAGGCUACGAUGGGUAGGGUCCUGAGAGGGAGAUCCCCCANACUGGUACUGAGACACGGACCAGACUCCUACGGGAGGCAGCAGUGAGGAAUAUUGGACAAUGGGCGCAAGCCUGAUCCAGCCAUGCCGCGUGCAGGAUGAAGGCCUUCGGUUGGUAACUAGCUUUGUUACGGAACGAAACGG